CUGGUACCUCCCCCUCGACCUGUUCCAGAAGCUGCUGUACCAGCCACUCUGGAGGGCAGCGUCUUUGUGCCUUCGAGCAAGUUUGCUCAACCGGAGGGGGAUGACAAGACUCUGUGUGUUGAUGAGUGGCCGUUUCUUCAAACAGUUUUGUGAGAAGGUGAACCAGCCAACUGCUCGGGUUGUCUCUGGACAGAGAAAACAAGAGGAGCCAACACCUUGGGGUCCAAAAGUUGUGAUGGCCCAGGCUGAUAAACCAACAGCCAAUGAGACCAGCUUCUUGGGAUGUUCAACCAAGAUGACACACAUUGAGGACCAUGAGCCGUUUGAACCAGCACCUGAGGUCACAGCGAGCAGUCAGCAGAGCCCGCCUGAGGACAAUGGCCAGCUUGAAGAUCCUCAUGUAACACUUGGCAAUCAGAAGGCACCCUGUGAUUUUGCACCUGCCAGAGCUGCUACAUCAAGUCAUGUGACUUAUGACAACCCUGGGUGUCUUCAAGGAUCGUUUGACCAGAGCAGCCACAUAUUCGGGGAAAAUGCAGGUAAGCAGUGUGCUACAAAUGGCAUAGCGGCGAUUAUGACCCACACCACCCAUAGCGUUCUCAAAUGGAAAAAAAAGAACAUUCAUCAUAUUCUAAAACAAGGUAAUGGCUUGUACACAUCUAUGCUAGAAAAUAAGGAAAUCAGUGCAGCCAAAACCAGUGGGCAUAUUUUCAUUUCUGAGUUACCCAGACACUGCAAAUUAAAAAAUAAAUUAUUUAGUUUGGAAUAUUUUGAUACACUCACUGGAAGUCUUGAUCAAAAGGAUGAUUAUGACGCUUCUUUGCAAAACAUAGCCAUGCCUUUAGAAGAGGCUAUUCAGAAGACACUGCUGCAGACAGACACAUGCUUGCUCAACAUCCAAGGAAGUGUCUGUGCCGUUUUCAAGGUCGAAACUGCUUUUGCAGUUUUCGAUCCUCAUUCUCGUAGUACUUGGGGUUCGGUUGCACCGGAUGGAACCAGCAUAGUAGCACACUAUGCUACUGUGUGUGAGUUAUAUGACCAUAUUGAGAACCUUGUCAAUUCCUUAUAUCAAAAUCAUCCACAUGAUUUUGAUAUCCCAAACAAGGUGUUUGAAGUCACUGGUGUGAAAGCUGUUGAGGUAAAUUCACCAUUUACUGCUUUAACU
ensembl:lncRNA